AUUCAAACCAUCAACCUUGGAGAUAAGAGACUAUUGUUGGGUUCCUGUCAAAAGAUAGGUGGCUUGGCUCAGGCAGCAGCUGGGGGGAGACUUAAAACAGCCUUGAGAACAAUUCUGAGCAGCACAGUUUCAAGGAGACACCCAGUCAUUUUAUGAGGCAAGAUGACCCAGGAAGGAGAGGUGGGUUCUAUAGCUGUGUGGUCUUGGGAAAGUGCUCUGGGAAGAUAUGUAUCCUAGAGGCCUGCUGGAUUCCUUUAGUGGAAAAUAGGAAGACUUACCAGUUGACCUGGUGCUACUGUCUACACCAACCUCCAGUUCGGAAAAAGCAAAUUCUCAGAAGAUUCUCAGGAAGUGAUGUUCAACCCAUGACAAUGACCGCUGUGUAGUUCAGGGGCCCAGAGCUGAGGUUAGGAAGUGAGGAUGUAAGAACCUGAACAUAUUUCUAGGCAUAGAGUUUUAAAGGAGAAUACAGAGAGGAAGCAAGAGGAAUAGGGCACGCUGUGGGAACAAGGAAAGGCUUGAAAAGGGAAAGGAAGCCUGGGUGGAAAGGGAAGCCUAUGGCCCUGAAUCGGGAAAACUGAUUCGGGAUUAGCAGGUUCAAGCAUCCCCACAUCGGACGGGCACAGCAUGACCCAUCUUCACACUCCCAGCACCUACUCCCGGGGGCAUCAUGACAGAUGGACAGCAGUAGACACUAAAAGCACAGUAGGCUGGUGCCAGGUCUUUCCCCAACGUCCGCAUCCCCUCCCCUUUCAGGAUCCCUUCUAGAAGCCUCUCAAGCUCCAGGAAGCCAUCUGCACUGGCUCAGACGAGGCAGGGAAGGAAUUAAAAACGUGAGAGGCAAGAUCAGAGAGAGACUUGCUCCCCCUCAAGAACCGCUUUAGUAGAGGAAAAAAGCCAGGCAAUUUUUAAUCAUCACGGAUUGUUUAAACUUCUGAAUCCAUCUUCUCCGAAGCAUAGGGAGCACCCAUUGUGGCUGGUACCCAGAAGCAGUCCGAGUUUAGCCCUUGGUCCACCUACCCCCAACAGUCACACACAUUUCCUGGACCCUUCAGUAGGUCCUCCCAGGGUCCUUGCAAGGCCAGGCCAGCAGGACCCUGCUUAUCUAAGGAGAUCUGACAAGACUGCAGCCCUGGGGGUAUGGCUGCUGGCGAAACAUAUGGUACAUCGUAAAUAGGACUUCCUUUUAGGAAAUGAGCUGCUGUAAUUAAAUCCCCAUUCAUUUUUCUGUAACAUACACAGAGAGACAAAUAGAUCUUUAUCCUUUGGAAGCUCCGAAGAGAAAAGGCUUGUGGGGAGCUGAGGAUUCUCAACUGUGACUUUUAUAAAAGAUUGCUUAGAUCCAGGUGAAACAAGAAGUCCAAAUUCCCUUUUUUGGAGGGGGGUUGGGGUGGAGUCCUCU
rnacentral:lncRNA from 1 species